rnacentral:rRNA from 1 species
UACAGAGGGUGCAAGCGUUGUUCGGAAUUAUUGGGCGUAAAGAGCUCGUAGGCGGUUUGUCGCGUCUGCUGUGAAAACUGGAGGCUCAACCUCCAGCCUGCAGUGGGUACGGGCAAACUAGAGUGCGGUAGGGGAGAUUGGAAUUCCUGGUGUAGCGGUGGAAUGCGCAGAUAUCAGGAGGAACACCGAUGGCGAAGGCAGAUCUCUGGGCCGUAACUGACGCUGAGGAGCGAAAGCAUGGGGAGCGAACAGG